UACUUAGUGGCAGACGGGUGAGUAACAUGUGGGUAUCUACCCUUUGGCCUGGAAUAACACGAGGAAACUUGUGCUAAUACCGGAUAAGUCUUUACGGAGAAAGCUUUAUGCACCAUUGGAUGAGCCUGCACUUGAUUAGUUUGUUGGUAGGGUAAUGGCCUACCAAGACUAUGAUCAAUAGCUGAUUUGAGAGGAUGAUCAGCCACAUUGGGACUGAGACACGGCCCAAACUCCUACGGGAGGCAGCAGUGGGGAAUCUUGCACAAUGGAGGAAACUCUGAUGCAGCGAUGCCGCGUGAGUGAAGAAGGCCCUUGGGUUGUAAAGCUCUUUCGUCGGGGAAGAAAAUGACUGUACCCGAAUAAGAAGG
rnacentral:rRNA from 1 species